rnacentral:tRNA from 4 species
GGGCGCAUAGCUCAGCUGGGAGAGCGCUGCAGUCACAUUGCAGAGGUCACAGGUUCGAUCCCUGUUGUGCCCACCA